rnacentral:rRNA from 1 species
AUUGAACGCUGGCGGCAGGCCUAACACAUGCAAGUCGAGCGGAUGAAGGGAGCUUGCUCCUGGAUUCAGCGGCGGACGGGUGAGUAAUGCCUAGGAAUCUGCCUGGUAGUGGGGGAUAACGUCCGGAAACGGGCGCUAAUACCGCAUCCGUCCUGAGGGUGAAAGUGGGGGAUCUUCGGACCUCACGCUAUCAGAUGAGCCUAGGUCGGAUUAGCUAGUUGGUGGGGUAAAGGCCUACCAAGGCGACGAUCCGUAACUGGUCUGAGAGGAUGAUCAGUCACACUGGAACUGAGACACGGUCCAGACUCCUACGGGAGGCAGCAGUGGGGAAUAUUGGACAAUGGGCGAAAGCCUGAUCCAACCAUGCCGCGUGUGUGAAGAAGGUCUUCGGAUUGUAAAGCACUUUAAGUUGGGAGGAAGGGCAGUAAGUUAAUACCUUGCUGUUUUGACGUUACCAACAGAAUAAGCACCGGCUAACUUCGUG